rnacentral:rRNA from 1 species
UACAGAGGUCUCAACCGUUGUUCGGAUUCAUUGGGCGUAAAGGGUGCGUAGGCGGCGCGGUAAGUCGGGUGUGAAAUCUCGGGGCUUAACUCCGAAACUGCAUUCGAUACUGCCGUGCUUGAGGACUGGAGAGGAGACUGGAAUUUACGGUGUAGCGGUGAAAUGCGUAGAUAUCGUAAGGAAGACCAGUGGCGAAGGCGGGUCUCUGGACAGUUCCUGACGCUGAGGCACGAAGGCCAGGGGAGCAAACGGG